UUUCCGUAGGUGAACCUGCGGAAGGAUCAUUAUUGCAUAACCGAGGUGCGAGGGCUGUCGCUGACACAAUUGUGCCUGCACGCCCGAGUGUCACGACACAUAACGAGCUAACCCCUACUUGCUCCGCCGCGUCAGCCGCCCUAUUGCGUGGGGGGAGAGGGGCAUACGUUUUUACACACACUAUGUAGUCCGUAGAUGAUUUCUUUUGUCUGUUUGGAAUGGCUCAAUCUAAACAACUUUCAACAACUGAUCUCUGGGCUCUCGCAUCCAGGAAAAGCG
rnacentral:misc_RNA from 1 species